CAAAAUGGCGAGGCGGCGUGGUCUGGAGAAAGGCUUGGGGACACCGUUCGGAGGAAAUGCGUUUAAAGCUAGGUGACUGCUGACUGAUGCAGUUGACUGCAGUGAUGACUCUAAACCCGACAAGACCAAAUGUUCGUGUUCUGAGAAACCUGGUGACCGGCAACUUCAGUCCAGACCAGCAAAUCAGAUGACCUGAAGACAGUGAGUUUGUACAGGUGUGUCCUGAGUGUCAGCUAUCCUGAUAUUCCUGUCCUGACAGGGAGAAACCUGUGAUGACCAGGGACUCUUUGUCGAAACCAGACCAGAUGAGGGCUGAGAAGAC